CCUACGGGACGCAGCAGUGAGGAAUAUUGGUCAAUGGGCGAGAGCCUGAACCAGCCAAGUCGCGUGAAGGAUGACGGCCCUAUGGGUCGUAAACCUCUUUUGUCAGGGAACAAAGGCGGGGACGUGUCCCCGGAUGAGUGUACCUGAAGAAAAAGCAUCGGCUAACUCCGUGCCAGCAGCCGCGGUAAUACGGAGGAUGCGAGCGUUAUCCGGAUUUAUUGGGUUUAAAGGGUGCGCAGGCGGUCUGUUAAGUCAGCGGUCAAAGCCCGGGGCUCAACCCCGGCCCGCCGUUGAAACUGGCAGUC
rnacentral:rRNA from 1 species